AGUCAUUGAUGCCAUGCUUCCAGGAAAAUCUUCUAAGCUUCAGGUCACGCAAGACCGUACCGUAAUCCGACACAGGUAGUCGAGUAGAAUAUACUCAGGUGCUCGAGUGAGUCACGGCUAAGGAACUCGGCAAAUUAACCCUGUAACUUCGGGAAAAGGGGAGCCACAGCAAUGUGGCCGCAGAGAAAUGGCCCAGGCGACUGUUUAACAAAAACACAUGGCUAUGCGAAU
rnacentral:rRNA from 1 species